GACGAACGCUUGCGACGUGCCUAAGAAAUGCAAGUCGAACGGGGUAGCAAUACCUAGUGGCGAACGGUCGCGUAACACGUGGGCAACCUGCCCUGAAGCGGGGGACAACAAGUCGAAGAUUUGCUAAUACGCAUGUGUCUCGCUGCGGCAUCGCAGAGGAGACAAAGCCGCAAGGCACUUCAGGAUGGGCCCGCGGCCUAUCAGCUUGUUGGUGAGGAA
rnacentral:rRNA from 1 species